rnacentral:tmRNA from 1 species
GCUGCUUAAACACAGCACCAUUCCUUUGACCAUCUGUGCUUAUGCGGGUGGAGUUUUUAGUACCUUUUAGGUAUGAGAGGCGCUCAGAGGUCAUCUACAUAAGAUCGCGCUGAAGUCUGUCCGGUAUGGAUGCGCUAAAACCUUACGGAAUCGCUGGUGAUUUUCUUGGCCCGACGGGUAGUCACUAGCUAAAUUAAAGAGCGGGAUAAGCAUGUAGACCUUGUGGCGGAGUACUUGCGGACGGGGGUUCAAUUCCCCCCGCCUCCACCA